rnacentral:rRNA from 1 species
UUCGCCACGCCCGCUACAAGAACUACGAAAGGAUUCGACGGGCCCCGCACAAGCAGCGGAGCGUGUGGUUUAAUUCGAUGCUACACGAAGAACCUUACCAGGGUUUGACAUACAAGUAGUAGGGAAAGGAAACUGGACCGACCCUUCGGGGAGCUUGAACAGGUGCUGCAUGGCUGUCGUCAGCUCGUGUCGUGAGAUGUUCGGUUAAGUCCGCUAACGAGCGCAACCCUCGCUGUGUGUUACAAGUGUCACACGGAACUGCCGGUCAUAAACCGGAGGAAGGUGGGGAUGACGUCAAGUCAGCAUGGCCUUUAUAUCCUGGGCUACACACACGCUACAAUGGGAAGGGACAAUAGGUUGCGAAACCGCGAGGUGGAGCCAAUCCAGCAAAACUUCCCUCAGUUCAGAUUGCAGGCUGCAACUCGCCUGCAUGAAGUUGGAGUUGCUAGUAAACGCAGGUCAGCCAUACUGCGUUGAAUACGUUCCCGGGGCUU